rnacentral:rRNA from 1 species
AUUGAACGCUGGCGGCAGGCCUAACACAUGCAAGUCGAACGGUAACAGGAAGCAGCUUGCUGCUUUGCUGACGCGUGGCGGACGGGUGAGUCAUGUCUGGGAAACUGCCCGAUGGAGGGGGAUAACUACUGGAAACGGUAGCUAAUACCGCAUAACGUCGCAAGACCAAAGAGGGGGACCUUAAGGCCUCUUGCCAUCGGAUGUGCCCAGAUGGGAUUAGCUAGUAGGUGGGGUAACGGCUCACCUAGGCGACGAUCCCUAGCUGGUCUGAGAGGAUGACCAGCCACACUGGAACUGAGACACGGUCCAGACUCCUACGGGAGGCAGCAGUGGGGAAUAUUGCGCAAUGGGCGCAAGCCUGAUGCAGCCAUGCCGCGUGUAUGAAGAAGGCCUUCGGGUUGUAAAGUACUUUCAGCGGGGAGGAAGGGAGUAAAGUUAAUACCUUUGCUCAUUGACGUUACCCGCAGAAGAAGCACCGGCUAACUCCGUG